rnacentral:rRNA from 1 species
UCAGCCCUACGGGGCGCAGCAGUGAGGAAUAUUGGUCAAUGGGCGCAAGCCUGAACCAGCCAAGUCGCGUGAGGGAUGACGGUCCUAUGGAUUGUAAACCUCUUUUGUCGGGGAGCAAGGCCCGCCACGUGUGGCGGGAAGGAGAGUACCCGAAGAAAAAGCAUCGGCUAACUCCGUGCCAGCAGCCGCGGUAAUACGGAGGAUGCGAGCGUUAUCCGGAUUUAUUGGGGUUAAAGGGUGCGUAGGCGGGGGGUUAAGGCAGCGGUCAAAUGUCGGGGCUCAACACCGGCCUGCCGGUGAAACUG